rnacentral:sRNA from 1 species
GGACUUGAAAGCUUGUAAAACCCGAGAAACCAUAACCUCCGAUUUGAGGUAUUGUUCAUGCACACGUAAAUGUGUAGUUUUCUUAGAGUUUUGAAGUUAUAGGGAGCUUUAGAUCGUCUUCACGAGGCUCAGAGAAGAAAAAUGAAGUGAUUUGGACGUUGGGAAGCUCGGGAAUAGGGAGUUGCAGAUUUAGCCGGAAUAUCGAAGGAUUUUUCGACGAGUUCCGUCGGUUUUAGGACUUUUGAAAGUUUCUGGUGAACGACGACGGCGACCGACGAGGCUAACCGGAGAAGAAGAUAGAAUAUUUCGUCAGAGUUGAUGGAAUAUUCUGACGCCGUCAGGUAGAAUUAACGGUUUUUGUUACUUUUUAACGGAAUAUUUCACGGAAUAUUCCUAACGAGUUUAAAGGAUUCCGUUAGGGUCCCUGCGCGUGUUGCCAUGCCCUUGUCGGCGCAUGGGACGUCAGAAAUUUUUUCUAAAAAUAUGGGGAUGUUCGUGAGGUUGUGUAGAUCACGUUGGUAUAUUCAAACAUCCCAUUCGAGCAAUUUGUUUCGCAUAUAG